rnacentral:rRNA from 1 species
AGAACGAACGCUGGCGGCAUGCCUAAUACAUGCAAGUCGAACGAACUCUUCGGAGUUAGUGGCGCACGGGUGCGUAACGCGUGGGAAUCUGCCCCUUGGUUCGGAAUAACAGUUGGAAACGACUGCUAAUACCGGAUGAUGACGAAAGUCCAAAGAUUUAUCGCCAAGGGAUGAGCCCGCGUAGGAUUAGCUAGUUGGUGAGGUAAAGGCUCACCAAGGCAACGAUCCUUAGCUGGUCUGAG